AGUGAACGCUGGCGGUAGGCCUAACACAUGCAAGUCGAACGGCAGCACAGGAGAGCUUGCUCUCUGGGUGGCGAGUGGCGGACGGGUGAGGAAUACAUCGGAAUCUACUCUGUCGUGGGGGAUAACGCAGGGAAACUUACGCUAAUACCGCAUACGACCUACGGGUGAAAGCAGGGGACCUGCGGGCCUUGCGCGAUUGAAUGAGCCGAUGUCGGAGUAGCGAGUUGGCGGGGUAAAGGCCCACCAAGGCGACGAUCCGUAGCUGGUCUGAGAGGAUGAUCAGCCGCACUGGAAAUGAGACACGGUCCAGACUCCUACGGGAGGCAGCAGUGGGGAAUAUUGGACAAUGGGCGCAAGCCUGAUCCAGCCAUACCGCGUGGGUGAAGAAGGCCUUCGGGUUGUAAAGCCCUUUUGUUGGGAAAGAAAUCCAGCUGGCUAAUACCCGGUUGGGAUGACGGUACCCAAAGAAUAAGCACCGGCUAACUUCGUGCCAGCCGCCGCGGUAA
rnacentral:rRNA from 1 species